AACUCCAUGUUUUUCCUAAUUAAUGUGUAUUUCAGAGAUCACCCCUUGUUGAAGCUGAAGAACAUCAUUGUCACACCUCACAUUGGAAGUGCAACUCACCAAGCCAAAUGGCAAAUCAUGCAAGAUCUGGUUGAAAGCAUCCUGGCAGCUCUCCAUGGCCUUCCUGUUCCUAACGAAGUGUUGCUUAAGUGACUUGUGAGGACUGAGAAAUAUAGUAGACUAAAUGGGGAAAGCUGUAUUUCUGGGGACUUCACAUGUCACACCCAUCUUGUAGACUGGCUUAAAGUUGCUUAAGAGUAAUAGGUAAUGUUUAUUGAAGGCGGCUUGCUGCAUGCUUUGCUUCCAUUCUCUCACUUCCUUCUGAGGGAAAUUGCAUCCAGUUAUCUAGUCUCAGAUGAAUUUAAAGGAAAAUCCUAGGCUUAGUUUUGAUUUGAAUUUAGAUUGUGUAAUGCCAGAUUCGUGGGACCCCAAUAGAUCUCCAGGAGCCGAAUCCGAUGCAAUCACACGAGAAUCUUUAUUGCAAGCUCGAGCCUGGACUCGCAACCGUUCCUGAGACAGUGGUCCCAGAGAGUGAGCCCUGAUCCUUUGUUCAGUGAGAUUUUAUAGGUUUUGGGGGGAUACUCUCUGUGUCACAACAUCACACAGCAAAUCAUUCCAUACCAUGGGAAAAUCAAACAACAACUCUAAUCAAUAUUAGCACAUUCACUGGCAGGAACAAGUUGGGUAGGGGUGAUUGGUUAGUACAAGAGGGGUAUUCCUUUGAACUGAUUGGUUUAGGCCACGAGGGGCGUACGUGCCAAACUACCUGGUUUCCCAACAUGUUAUCAACUACCAUAAACUACUGGGGGGUCAUCUGGCACCCAGAUAUUUUCCCUGUCUCAUGCUGAUUGGUGGUUGCUAGGGGGUUGCUAUAGGUCCUCACCUAGCCUAACUGAGUCAGGGACAUCUGGCACCGCAGACCUCUCCUGUUAUUUGCAGACAAACAACUCAGCAGGGUGGGUAUGUGCUUAGGAGUGCUCUGUGGGUUUUUCCAAGGAUAAGGGUCAUGCCCCCUUCCUUAGGACAGCCUUGAGGUAGAAGCUGCUGUUAUUUAUUUUCAAAAAUGGAGUCACAUCAGUUUCUCAAUUAAAACCCUGGACUAGAUCUGCAAAUCUCGUGAGCUA
rnacentral:lncRNA from 1 species